GAGAGAGGUAGAGAGAGAAAGUGGGAGAAGAGAAGAACAAGGGUUAGAGAGAAGAGUGAGAGCUUGAAGAAUUCAAGGGUUUGAAGAAUCAUAGGAGCAAAAGUGAAGCUAGAGCUAAUAGUUGGAGAUAAUUAAGACGUUGUGCAGUAGUAGUGCUUGGUGAUAUCGGGAGCUUUCUCCGAUAUCGGUGUUGAGUCGGCUCUGAUCUAGGCUUGUUGUGUUGGUCUAGAUUAGGUUAUUUUUGGAUUUUGUUUUGUUGGAGAUUCCCCGUUGUUUGGAAUUUUUGAGGUGCAUCUUUGUGAUGUAAUUUAUUACUUCAUAACAUGUAUAUGUUGAUUACUAUGGUUUAUAUUC